rnacentral:rRNA from 1 species
UACAGAGGUCCCGAGCGUUGUUCGGAUUCAUUGGGCGUAAAGGGUGCGUAGGCGGCUUUCUAAGUCUGAUGUGAAAUUCCGGGGCUCAACCCCGAAACUGCAUUGGAUACUGGGAGGCUAGAGUCCUGGAGAGGAGACUGGAAUUACGGUGUAGCAGUGAAAUGCGUAGAUAUCGUAAGGAAGACCAGUGGCGAAGGCGAGUCUCUGGACAGGUACUGACGCUGAGGCACGAAGGCCAGGGGAGCAAACGGG